AUGUGUUAUGCUCUGCAUACGUGGCACUGUACAUGGCUAGCAAAAUUGAUCCUAUGUAUGUGGAUGGCCCUGCCGCUUAACACGAUCACGUUACGUAUGCCGGCAGUCCGACGACGGCGACGAGGCGUCAGCGACCAGCUUCCGGAGCGCGCAUCUCGACGCUGCCACGUCCCUCCCGGCGACGAAUGGGUGGGCAAGCAGCUCCGCGACGGACGCCCUGUUGCGGUAGUCCUUGCGCAGGCACGCGGCGACGAACCCCCGGAGCUCCGGCGAGGAGGCGCCCUCGGGCAGCACCGGCGGGUCGCCGAAGCAGACGGCGCACAUGAGCGCCGCCCAGCUCGGCCGCUGCCCGGCGGGGAGGAGCGGGUACCUGCCCAUGAAGAGCUCAAGGAGCGUGACCCCCAGGCUCCACACGUCGGCGGCGCACGGGUCGUAGUGCCCGCCGUGCGCCUCCGGGUCGAAGCGCUCGGGGCUCAUGUAAGCGGAGGUGCCGGCGUACGACGCGCAGUGGUCGCCGGCGCGGGCGAGCACCUUGGCGAUGCCGAAGUCGGCGACCUUGACCUCCCCGGCGGUGCUCACGAGGAGGUUGCCCGGCUUGACGUCGAGGUGCACGAUGCGGCGGGCGUGGAGGUACGCCAGCCCCGACAGCGCCUGCGCGGCCACCUCCGCGAGCGCGGCCUCCGCGAACGCGCCGCGGCUGGUCCUGACGGAGUCGAGCGACCCGCCGUCGACCAGCUCGAGGAGCAGCGCGACGUCGCCGGACGCCGCGGCGGGGAGCACGGAGUGGCACCGGACGACGAAGGGCGAGGCGGUGCGGCUGAGCACGUCCGCCUCGGCGGCCGCGGCGGGGUCGCCGUAGUGCUGCACCUUGAGCGCGUAUAG
rnacentral:rRNA from 1 species